rnacentral:rRNA from 1 species
AGUGAACGCUGGCGGUAGGCCUAACACAUGCAAGUCGAACGGCAGCACAGUAAGAGCUUGCUCUUACGGGUGGCGAGUGGCGGACGGGUGAGGAAUACAUCGGAAUCUACUUUUUCGUGGGGGAUAACGUAGGGAAACUUACGCUAAUACCGCAUACGACCUACGGGUGAAAGCAGGGGAUCUUCGGACCUUGCGCGAUUGAAUGAGCCGAUGUCGGAUUAGCUAGUUGGCGGGGUAAAGGCCCACCAAGGCGACGAUCCGUAGCUGGUCUGAGAGGAUGAUCAGCCACACUGGAACUGAGACAAGGUCCAGACUCCUACGGGGGGGAGCAGUGGGGAAUAUUGGACAAUGGGGGCAAGCCUGAUCCAGCCAUACCGCGUGGGUGAAGAAGGCCUUCGGGUUGUAAAGCCCUUUUGUUGGGAAAGAAAAGCAGCAGGUUAAUACCCCGCUGUUCUGACGGUACCCAAAGAAUAAGCACCGGCUAACUUCGUG